rnacentral:sRNA from 1 species
UAAACGGAUGCGGGUUGUAGCGUGUAC